CCGGCGCAGCUCAGCUCCUGCCCCGGGCUCGCCAGACGCCGGCAGAGCCGCUGCGGGAGAACCGGGACGAGCCACAAUUGCAGGGAGCUAACGUGGGAGGAGUACAGGAGUCCCGGCUGCCGGUAGGAGCCUCUGCGCAGCCCAGGCUGGGGACGGCCAGGAGAACUGGGCCAGGAUGUCCCAGCUGGGCUCCUUGCUCCUGCAGACUUGCCGUGACUCGGGGAGGGGCAUUCGCACCAGGAUCCCCCGGGCAUCAGGGUAAAGCGAGAGUGCAGGCAACAUGGCAGGGGAGCAGCUGACCGGCAGGAAGGUUCAGCCUGGGUCAGGGUGAGGAGCAUGGCCCUGCCAUGUGAGGAUGAGCCUGGGCCAGGAGCAUGGCCCUGACACCGGGGGACGCCGACAUGGGAGGAAAUGUCCGGUAUAGACAAGAUGCUGACGCUGCCUUGCCCGCCACCCUGUCCCAGGAGACCUGGGGGGACCCCCACCUCACUUCUGCCCUCGGGAGUGGGACUGGGUGAGACCCUCCGUGCAGCAAGAGGUACAUGGCAAAGAUUUAAUCCCUGAGGGAAGAGGACAGGCUCCCUGCUUGCAGAAAGAUGACUUGCCUCACUGCUGCUUGGAGCUCAUUGUUGAGGACAGCCCUAUCUGCGCCUGCCUCAGAGUACAGAUCCACCUGAUGGACACCCUGGCUUGUUACAGCUCCAGCCACAAGAUGUUCCUGCUAAUAGUUGCUCCUUCCUGUAAAGAGCUGCAGGUAAGUUUAGCUUUCCUUAACAGAGGCUACGGAGAGCAGACGCUCUCCUGUUCAAACGUACUGGGAGUGCAGCCCAGGCUGACAGACAUGACGGCUUGUUACAGCUCCAGCCGAACAGCAGCUCCGGAUAAGAGAUGUUCCUGCUUCUUACGACUCCUGCUGACAGACUCUCCAGCAUGUUACAGCUCAGGGUAUUUGAAGCCACAAGUAAUUUCAAUUCCUGCUGCUUUUUUCAGCCUGACGUAAUUUGAGGUGCAGCUUGUUGAAGCUCCAGCUCUGGCUGAUGGAUGCUCCAACUGCGAAAGUGAUGAGGCUUCUUGUUAUCAACUCUGGCUUAAUAAAUGGUCCCUCUUGUUAUAAGCCAAUUAAAGCUCCAGCUAAUUGCAGUAAUCAGGGCUUUUGGCAAGGUUGUAAAUCAAU